rnacentral:snoRNA from 1 species
CUGCAUCCGACUGAUAGACCUUGAACAUUUGCUGUUGCUUCUUUUGGUUUUGCACUAGGGAUGCGAAAGAAAAAUUCCUGCGCUUUCUGGGUCUGUCUUGUGGCAGCCCAGAUUGAAUUGUGGAAUACAUCU